UUCGAGAGUUGGGACAGGGAAGUGUGAGACGUACUUUCAUGUAUAUAUUUCUAAUAUUAUUUUUUCGUCUUGUAUUCUCGUUAAUUUUUCUCUAGGAAACACUGGAACGACACUGCUUAAAUUGAAGCACAGUGUGCGAAUGACCUGCUACGCUCGGAACUGUUAUCACCAUUCGGGAAGAAAUUGGAUGAAAAAACAUAACUGUAAAUACCUGUAUGAUAUACGUCUGGUGCAUUGCAGGUAAGAAUGGAUUGUGUGUGGCGCGCUUCACCGCAUGUGGACUAGAGUAGAUCUAGGAACAUCAGACAAGAAGACACGUAUGUGAAACCCUGCGGAUAGCCCAUAUGUGAACUUUUUUUCCAGAUACGGAGGAACGGACACCGGUCGUGCCGUGAGCACUAUUCUGCAGGGCAUACUUACAAAUGAAGCUGCACUGCAGUUCAGCUGGAAAGGGUCGCAGGGGAGGAAGCACGCCUUCGUGAAGCUCAUGGCCAUCACGAAUAUAACAUCUGUGAGGAGCACGUUCCCUGACGCUUCACUAGCAUCAGUGGCUGGAGUCGCAAAACGCUGGUUGGUUGGAGCAGCUGACAGGGAUGGAGGCCGGAAUGAAAGAAGGCGCCGUGACCCUGCUUCAAGCCCACCAAAUAUGAACUAGUGUUUGAAACUUGUGAACGUGUCGGUGUACAUAUACAAUUACAAGAAAUAAAGACCUGU
rnacentral:misc_RNA from 1 species